rnacentral:tRNA from 1 species
GAAAUAUUUUAGAAAAAGUGAAAGCUGCUAACUUAUCACCAUAACGGUUAAAUUCCGUUUAUAUUUCU